CCUACGGGAGGCAGCAGUGGGGAAUCUUCCGCAAUGGGCGGGCGAAAGCCUGACGGAGCAACGCCGCGUGAGUGAAGAAGGCCUUCGGGUCGUAAAGCUCUGUUGUCGGGGACGAAAUGAUGUAGCGCUUAUCAACAACGAGUGCUAAUGACGGUACCUGACGAGGAAGCCACGGCUAACUACGUGCCAGCAGCCGCGGUAAU
rnacentral:rRNA from 1 species